rnacentral:rRNA from 1 species
UACGUAGGGUCCGAGCGUUGUCCGGAAUUAUUGGGCGUAAAGGGCUCGUAGGCGGUCUGUCGCGUCGGGAGUGAAAUCUUACAGCUUAACUGUGAACUUGCUUUCGAUACGGGCAGACUUGAGGCAUUCAGGGGAGAACGGAAUUCCUGGUGUAGCGGUGAAAUGCGUAGAUAUCGAGAGGAACACCUGCGGCGAAGGCGGGUUGCUGGGCUGAUACUGACGCUGAGGCGCGAAAGCUAGGGGAGCAAACAGG